rnacentral:rRNA from 1 species
AACGAACGCUGGCGGCAUGCCUAACACAUGCAAGUCGAACGAGACCUUCGGGUCUAGGGGCGCACGGGUGCGUACCGCGGGGGAACCUGCCCUUAGGUUCGGAAUAACUCCCCGAAAGGGGUGCUAAUACCGGAUAAUGUCUUCGGACCAAAGAUUUAUCGCCUUUGGAUGGGCCCGCGUUGGAUUAGCUAGUUGGUAGGGUAAAAGCCUACCAAGGCGACGAUCCAUAGCUGGUCUGAGAGGAUGAUCAGCCACACUGGGACUGAGACACGGCCCAGACUCCUACGGGAGGCAGCAGUGGGGAAUAUUGGACAAUGGGCGAAAGCCUGAUCCAGCAAUGCCGCGUGAGUGAUGAAGGCCUUAGGGUUGUAAAGCUCUUUUACCCGGGAUGAUAAUGACAGUACCGGGAGAAUAAGCACCGGCUAACUCCGUG